UUUAUUUUUUGUCAAUAUCAUUUUAAACGAACAUUUGACUCGUUAAUUUACCUGUUAGCUACUGUUACAAGCUGAAAUCAAUACCUACAGGCUAUCAUGGCUUUUAACUGUGGAAAAAAAUAACUAAUCUGAACUAAAAACAUUUUUUUUCUGAUCCAAGGAAGUUAGUGUUAUUGCAUUUCCAUUGCAAGAAUAGCAUGCAUGUCAGCAUCUUUAUUAAAGUGUAUUUGUGUGAAUCUCUCUCAUAAAUACACACACAGGAACAUUUUAGCCAAGAAUUACUGCUGACCGUUAUGUAUUUGUGUUUUACAGGAGGAUCUGGUGGCCGCAAGGAAAACCCUAUUUGGCAAGCAAAACUUUUUCUCCUUCCAGGGCCAGAUAAUGGUUUUCUGCCCCCCACAAUAGAACUUGAGGAACUGGCUAAACAUAGAUUAGGAAAACCUGUGCACGAGUCAACGGAGGCCGGACGCACAAACUCAAGGAUUGGGUUAAACUGGAGUUUAUCUGUAUUAAACAACUUUGUUUGCCAAAGCUACCCUCGCAUCAGUUUAAAUUUAAUAGGCUUUGAAUUGGCAAGGACAGGCAAAGGACGCAAGAUCCAGAAAUUGCAAGUUAGUUCUGUGAAGGAACUAAAAGCAGUUGUUGGCAAAAGCAGGCUUUACAUCGUGCCACGAGCCACUGUCUUCAAGGUAACAUCACCACCCUCUGCCAUGUCCCAGAAUUCAUUCCAACCACUCGCAGCUCCAGCAGUAGAUGAGACCUCACAAGUGGUUUCAGAUCAGGUGGCAUCCACAUCCUCUGCCAUAUCCAUGAAUUCAUUCCCACCACUCUCAAUUGCUCCGGUACAAGAUGAGACCACGCCUGUGGCUGAGAGUACCCAAGCUCAAAGUGUGGUUGCAAAUCAGGCUCUUCAAGAAUGGCGAGCAAUACGUGCCCAGCAAGACCAGGAGUAUAAUACAAGUUUGUUGGUGGAUCAGGAGAAGGAGAGGAAGAAACUAGUCUAUCAGGCUUGUGAGGAAAGAUGUCAAAAGGCUAUUGAGGCAAGACGUCAGCGAAUGUCUGCAUGUGAGGAACCCUCAGAUGGGGUGUUGAUCAAAUUUAAAUAUCCAAAUGGACACACCUAUAUGAGGAAAUUCCGUUUGUCGGAGCCAAUCCAGAUCUUGUUUGACUUUGUGGGACAAGAUAAUAUUGCCAGUGAAAUCUUUGUGGUGCAAGAAGCUGCAUCAUCAAGAUCAGUUGAGAGCAGUUGCUCCGGGUCAAUAAUGGAUCAUGGCAUAAAAGCAUCCUCAGCUCUAUAUGUGCUUUGGUUUUCAAAUAAGGAUGUACAGGAAAUUCUCUCAGAUCAACAAAAUGAUGGAGCUUAUGCCCUACACCAUACAUCUCAUGGUCAGUCAUAACUGUCUGAGACCUCCACCCAGCCAAGUCUCUCUGUGCCCUCAUUCCAGCCACCGCUGCCUGAGCCCUCCACCCGCUCACCGCUGCCUGAGCCCUCCACCCAGCCACCGCUCACUCUGUUCUCACAACCACAAGAAAUCCUGACUCUUUAUGAUGAACCAUCACUCUCUCCUUCAUCUGCCCAAGAACCAAUCAUUAUUCUUGAUGAACAAGAUGAGUCGUUUUCACAAAAUCAGUCUCCUGUAUCAACACAUCACCUCAGAGGACCUGUGGAUGAGUGUGUUUUUCUCAUUAACUUGAUUUUAUAUUUUUCUAGUGUAUGUAGAUGUUUCAUUUUCUGUAUCCUAUUACAUUUAAUCAGGUGGUUAACUUAAAAUGCAUGAACUUCUUUGUUUGCAGGAUUGAUCUACAGACCAUAUUGAAAAAAAUGGUCAGCAAAGUUGAUGGAAGAUUCUGUCCAACAAGCAACCAAAUAAAUGUGUGCAGGGAUAAUGUUUUACUGUGUAG
ensembl:lncRNA